rnacentral:lncRNA from 1 species
UUUACUUUUCUAAUAAUUCACUUGUUCCAAGAAUUAACUGUCUCAAGUUCAGCAUGAUUGUCUCUCUCUGAUUAACAUAGCAAGGCCCUAACACAUUUUGUACCAAAUAGUCUACCGACUAAGCUUUCAUCCUCACCUGCAAUGUUCAAUAGAGAAUAAUAAAGUUCAGCAAGGCCAUAUAGAAAGAUUUGGCCUUCUACAAAGCUUGAACUAUGGGCAACAUAUCUGAAGAAAUUCACAAGAGAGUAAGGUCAACAAAGGAAAUUCAUAAGAGAGUAAGCCCAACACUGAUCCCUCUCCUUCCAUCCCAACAUCGCUCACCUUCCAGCCCAACAUCACUCCCUCGAUGCCAAUCAUUACCAGAUCAUGAAACCAGGACGAAGAGAGGGGGUGAGGGGGAGAGGCUGCACCUCAAGCAUGUCGUCGGC